GUCGACGGUAACGAUGGAAGCUUGCUUCCAGGCGACGAGUGGCGGACGGGUGAGUAAUGCUUGGGAAUUUGCCUAGUAGUGGGGGACAACACGGGGAAACUCGUGCUAAUACCGCAUACACCCUACGGGGGAAAGCGGGGGAUCUUCGGACCUCGCGCUAUUAGAUGAGCCCAAGUCGGAUUAGCUUGUUGGUGAGGUAACGGCUCACCAAGGCCGCGAUCCGUAGCUGGUCUGAGAGGACGAUCAGCCACACUGGGACUGAGACACGGCCCAGACUCCUACGGGAGGCAGCAGUGGGGAAUAUUGCACAAUGGGCGCAAGCCUGAUGCAGCAAUGCCGCGUGUGUGAAGAAGGCCUGCGGGUUGUAAAGCACUUUCAGUAGGGAAGAAAAACUCAAGGUGAAUACCCAUGAGUCUUGACAUUAACUACAGAAGAAGCACCGGCUAACUCCGUGCCAGCAGCCGCGGUAAUACGGAGGGUGCGAGCGUUAAUCGGAAUUACUGGGCGUAAAGCGCACGCAGGCGGUUUGUUAAGCUAGAUGUGAAAGCCCCGGGCCCAACCUGGGAUGGUCAUUUAGAACUGGCAGACUAGAGUCUUGGAGAGGGGAGUGGAAUUCCAGGUGUAGCGGUGAAAUGCGUAGAUAUCUGGAGGAACAUCAGUGGCGAAGGCGACUCCCUGGCCAAAGACUGACGCUCAUGUGCGAAAGUGUGGGGUAGCG
rnacentral:rRNA from 1 species